ACGGGAGGCAGCAGUAGGGAAUCUUCCGCAAUGGACGAAAGUCUGACGGAGCAACGCCGCAUGAGCGAUGAAGGCCUUCGGGUCGUAAAGCUCUGUUGUUAGGGAAGAACAAGUACUGGAGUAACUGCCGGUACCUUGACGGUACCUAACCAGAAAGCCACGGCUAACUACGUGCCAGCAGCCGCGGUAAUACGUAGGUGGCAAGCGUUGUCCGGAAUUAUUGGGCGUAAAGCGCGCGCAGGCGGUCCUUUAAGUCUGAUGUGAAAGCCCACGGCUCAACCGUGGAGGGUCAUUGGAAACUGGGGGACUUGAGUACAGAAGAGGAAAGCGGAAUUCCACGUGUAGCGGUGAAAUGCGUAGAGAUGUGGAGGAACACCAGUGGCGAAGGCGGCUUUCUGGUCUGUAACUGACGCUGAGGCGCGAAAGCGUGGGGAGCAAACAGGAUUAGAUACCCUGGUAGUCCACGCCGUAAACGAUGAGUGCUAAGUGUUAGGGGGUUUCCGCCCCUUAGUGCUGCAGCUAACGCAUUAAGCACUCCGCCUGGGGAGUACGGCCGCAAGGCUGAAACUCAAAGGAAUUGAC
rnacentral:rRNA from 1 species